ACAAUGAUAAAAACAACAUCAACCCCCAAAACCCUAGCCACCCCUUUCACUUACCGAUUUACCCUCUUUGUACAACCAUCUAUGGUAAAAAAAUCAGAUUCUUUCAUUAUCUUCAGACUAUGCUCACCAUUUGGGCAAACUAUUAACUCUCAUUUUUUAAUAAUAGAGGCAACGUCUAUUUCUCCAUAUCUCUCCACUAUUUUUUUAGUACAAAGAUCAUUAAUAGUCUUUGUCUCACCGUGAAUUCCAGAAUUUAGAUUUAAAAUUCAUUCUUUCAAAUUCGAAACCCUAUUUUUUCCUCCCAAAUUUCUCUCAUAAAUGGACAUUGAGGGAUAGAGGUUGAAAAGAGAGAAUUCUUUGUGGAAAAGUUAGGGAUUUGGGAGGAGCAUUCCUCUAAUCCUACCUAAUCAAAGAAUUCGAGAAGAAACGCACUUGAAAAUUUAAUUCCGAAAAAAAAAGGUAAAGCACCGAUGAUCCGGGAUUGAAAUUUCGAUGGAAUUUUGUUCAUUUAAAGCUCGUUCGUUUCAGUUCCUUCCCGAGAAAAAAAAUAUAUGGGAUUUGUAGAUUAAAGAUGGUUGGUAUAUGCCAAUAUAUGGUGCAUAACAACAUCAGAAGCAAGUAUACGGGUCGUUAUACACUGAUAUACAACAACAACAACAAACCCAGUAUAUUCCCACCUAGUGGGGUCUGGGGGUAAGAUGUACGCAGUCCAUACCUCUACCUCUAAAGAAGUAGAAAGGCUGUUUCCGAUAGACCCCCGGCUCACACUGAUAUACAACAAAUAUAUAGAAAAUGCAGCAAAACAAAACUGUGAUAUACAACUGAUAUACCAUGAGUUAAAAUGGACUCGAGGUCCAUAAAUUUGCAGCCCAACAGAAUCCAAAAAUGGGCCUGAAAGUACACUUUCUCAACCCUUCUUUAUUUUUGUAAUUUAUCUUGACUGUUUGUAUUAAAUAAUUAAUCUAGAUAAAUCCCCUAAAA